UGGAAGGGACUUCAUUAAUUACAGUUUUUUUUUCUUGCUCUCGCGGGUAUCGCGCAUGUAGAACAGGCUAAUGAAGUGGUGUGUGGCGCAGGCACGGUAAUGGCCCCGGCCCCCGGGGACCCUCAGUUUUUUUUUGUUUCCUAGGGCAGUUCAUAACCCCCCCCCAAACCGGCUGCUGAUAAUUAUCCUGUAGCACAGAGAAGCCGCACGGGCGCAUACGUAAACUCCCCAGUCAGGUAACCCACCACCGAGUGCCUAACGGAGCAUUAAACAAAGCCGCCCCCGCCAUUACUCUUCUGAAGAUCCUCACAACAAGACACGCUGAGGCGGCCACGCCUGUGAAAUCUUAAUCAUCUGGUCAACCAGCGCAGAGUUACCUUCGUUUUCUGCAAAGAAAUUAGAACAAGGGAUGAUAUCUACUAAUGGCGGCCAUAAUGACGGAGCGCAGUGCGGUAAACCGACCUUUAAUGGAACUGGGCUGCAAUUCCACACACAACCUGGAGACAGAUGAGUGGAAGAGGAGUGCAACUGGGGUCUGGGGUGGAUCACCGGAGCCACCGCUGGAGAGUAGGAGAAAAAUAUGAGUUUUCUGCGAAGUGCCGACCCAAGGGCUGCGAAGACUGGAGGUCUAUGACGUCUCCGAAUCUCAGAGGAUGACUCAUAUUUAAGUAUCUUAAUUAUUAUUAUAACCUUGACGGCGCCCUGGCUCAUCAGGAGGCCCGGUGGUGAUGUCAGGAGAUUAGAACCAUCAGUAGUCGCAGGUCCUUGAGU